rnacentral:rRNA from 1 species
UACAGGGGGUGCAAACGUUGCUCGGAAUUAUUGGGCGUAAAGAGCUCGUAGGCGGUGUGUCACGUCGGCCGUGAAAACCUGCAGCUUAACUGUGGGCGUGCGGUCGAUACGGGCAUCACUGGAGUUCGGCAGGGGAGACUGGAAUUCCUGGUGUAGCGGUGAAAUGCGCAGAUAUCAGGAGGAACACCGGUGGCGAAGGCGGGUCUCUGGGCCGAUACUGACGCUGAGGAGCGAAAGCGUGGGGAGCAAACAGG